rnacentral:rRNA from 1 species
UCGAACGCUGGCGGCGUGGCUAAGGCAUGCAAGUCGAACGGAAUAGUUGGAUCGUAAGUGAAGACUAUUUAGUGGCGGACGGGUGAGGAAUAGAUAGGUAACGUACCCAGAACUCGGGGAUAACAGCGGACCGCAAGGUCCUUUGCGAAAGUGCUGCUAAAACCCGAUGACACCACCGGAUCGCAUGAUUCGGUGUUCAAAAGUCAGCUGGUUUUGGAUCGGCCUAUCUCCUAUCAGCUAGUUGGUGAGGUAACGGCUCACCAAGGCGACGACGGGUACCAGGCGUGAGAGCGCGGCCUGGCACAUCGGGACUGAGACACUGCCCGGACAUCUACGGAUGGCUGCAGCAACGAAUAUUCCGCAAUGGACGCAAGUCUGACGGAGCGACGCCGCGUGCAGGAUGAAGGCCUUCGGGUUGUAAACUGCUGUUAGGGGUUCGGAAUCAAUUGACCAACCCCAGAGGAAGCAUUGGCUAACUCUGU